rnacentral:rRNA from 1 species
GUAGGGAAUAUUGGGCAAUGGUCGGAAGACUGACCCAGCCAUGCCGCGUGCAGGAAGACGGCCCUCUGGGUUGUAAACUGCUUUUAUCUGGGAAGAAAAAGGCCAUGCGUGGCAAAUUGCCGGUACCAGAUGAAUAAGCACCGGCUAACUCCGUGCCAGCAGCCGCGGUAAUACGGAGGGUGCGAGCGUUGUCCGGAUUUAUUGGGUUUAAAGGGUGCGUAGGCGGCUGAUUAAGUCAGCGGUGAAAGACUUCGGCUUAACCGGAGCAGUGCCGGUGAUACUGGUUGGCUUGAGUGUCGGAGGGGUACAUGGAAUUGAUGGUGUAGCGGUGAAAUGCAUAGAUACCAUCAGGAACACCGAUAGCGAAGGCAUUGUACUGGCCGACAACUGACGCUGAUGCACGAAAGUGUGGGGAUCGAACAGGAUUAGAAACCCCAGUAGUCC